GGCCCUUUAGCUCAGUGGUUAGAGCAGGCGACUCAUAAUCGCUUGGUCGUUUGUUCAAACCCAACAGGGGCCACCA
rnacentral:tRNA from 1 species